rnacentral:lncRNA from 1 species
GGCAUCUCCUCCCUUCCUAUCCACAUCAGUCAUCUUUCAGUUUUUCAGAAGGAACCUGGGCUCUCUAACCCAUGUACACUUUACUUUCUGUAUCUGUUUGUAAAUCGCUCCUUUACAACAUCACUCCCUAAUGAUCUCUGAAGAACUUCAUAUUGUGAAACUUAAGAUGAACUGUGCUUCAGGCCACAGAACAGGCUCCAACCUUUAUGCUUCGUGUGCCAACUCCCAGGUGGCCCACUCAGAAAUUAUUGGGUAACAUCGAAUCAUCCAAAAUUAACACUCGGAUGCAUUGCAAGCACAGUCUGCUUUAAGAAACUUAACGUUAGGGUUGGAGAUUUGGCUCAGUGGUAGAGCGCUUGCCUAGGAAGCGCAAGGCCCUGGGUUCAGUCCCCAGCUCCGGAAAAAAAGAACCAAAAAAAAAAAAAAAAAAGAAACUUAACGUUAAAUGCAAGUAUAUACUAGCCUUUCUGAAAUAGCCCAUUUCUUGUUUUUAGAUACCCCUUAUAUUGUCAUGGCCACUUCCAAUCUGUGCAUCUCUAGCAGAGGUUGGCAAGCUAUACCGAGGCUACGACCCGGUCACUACAAGGAAAGGUGGUUUCCACACUUAACAGUUGAAAACAAAAAUUAAUACUUAUCUGUCUGAAGCUUCUUUUGCACCUUCUUCACCAGAACUGAAUACUGACAACAGACAGUUCUCCACAAAGAAGAAACACUAUCUUUACAGGAGAAAAAAAAAAAGUGUGCUGACCCCAAAUAUCCAUUCCUACCCUGGCCUCCAUACUCUGUGCAUUUAUUUAAAUGUUUUUUCCAACUGAGUGCACAGAGGUGGCUGUAAUAUCAUUUGGUUUUGUCAAAAACAUUUUUUCUUUCAAGAUAGGAUCUCACCAUGUAUCCCUAAAUGGACUAGAACUCACUAUGUAGAUCAAGCUGGCCUCAAACUUGUGGUAAUCCUCCUGCCUUGGCCUCCCAGGUGCUGGCAUUACAGGCUUGCACCACCAUGUCUAUGCUUGUAAAAAAAAAAAUUCAACAUUUACAGACAGUGAAACAUCACCCAUGGCCUUCUGAAAAAAGCGGUGGGUCCUUCUCACAAAAGUGUGGCUCUCUUAACGCAUGGACUCGCCAGACUCAAACUGAAAAUAUCCGAAAAACGUUUAGAAUCGUUCUCCAAAGUCAUCUGUUACCAAGUAGCCGGCAGGCACAGAGUGAAGACAUUCCCUGCCUGGUGGCUCUGUUGAGGAGAGCUGAGCCCUGAAGAAGCCCAGGCGCCAGGGUUCCUCUGGCUCUAUCUGCUUUUAUCCGUUUCCCAUCUGUCGUCCAUACAAGCUCACCCAAUAUACCCGUGCCAGUUCCCUUUCCUUCACAAGGCUCCACCCCUUACUUUCACCUGCUGAUCCCUUUCAACUUAGUAUCUUUUUUGACCUUUGUCUUCUUUUCAAUCUCCCUCCUCAUUUUUUUUUUUUUUUUGGCUAAUUUGAUAGAAAAACCCCAGUGUCGACUAGGCUCCCACAGCCUGCCCUGCCCUUUGGAAGCCCACCUCAAACAUCAUGGUGAUAAUGAGUAUUGUUAUCCAAUAUCCUGAUUUGCUCACCUGCUUAGCAUAUCAACUCCUACAUGUUCCAUUUUGGAAGAUGAAUUACACGGUUCCUCCAGCUCUGUUAAACCUACGAUGUUGUGAGAACUGCAGAGUUCGGCUGAGCAAGUCUGUAGACAUGGGACUGUUGAUAGAGCGUGCUUUUCACAACCAGAUAUGGCAACAGGCAAACAGGCAUGCCAUUCACACUUUUCUUUGAGUCCGUGUAUGGAAAAUUACUCACUCAUGGUGUGACAUAGUGAAUUUAGUGUGAGCGGUUUCAAAUCAAUGAUGUUUGGAAUAUCCUAAGGAAGGUAAUACCAUUACAAUAUUUAAGCACAUGCUAUCUUACUGUCUUCAAAAAACAAGUUACUUUAAUUGCACGUACUAGAGAAAAGCUAUCAUGUUCAUCAAAUGAAUAGGCUUCUAGGGAAUCCUGGGAAAAUAGCCCAUAAUCAGGUAGAUGUAACUUUCACAUCGCUCUGCUCUAGGGUCUGUUCCCUGCGCAUUCUUGCUUUGGUCUGGACUGCCAGGACCUGCUUUGCACCUUUUCCUGUAGAUUUGUAGUUAAGGGAACACCAAGGAGUCAUCAGGGUGGGAGUGGUUGAAGAGUGAAAAUAACUAGGGGUGGAGGGAGACCCCAAAGUUCCUACUGAAGCCAUACAGUGUUAUAUAUGGUUCCUCCCUAGGGCAUACCGAUAAGCAAGGAAGCCACCCUCCCUAGCUCACAUACUUAGGAUGUCAUUUUAAGAGUUCCUUUAUGGUUCUGCACAAUUCUUGUCUUAUCCAUAUGCCCCAGUGGUCUGCUACUUUUAGGAAUAUCUAGGUGUGCACACAUUAAUCUUUUCUAUAUCUAAAGAGUUUUCUACGUGUAUUGGAUUGCUCAGAAUAAAGUAUAUAUUAGACUUGUUUUGGUAAAGAAAUAAAUUCUAUCUGGAUAGUAUGGAUUAAAAUUAUGAAAAUAUGUAAGAACACAAUGUAUCUCUACACCCCUACUGUGUAACUCAAAAAAUAAAAAUAGAUUCCACACAC